AUUGAACGCUGGCGGCAUGCUUUACACAUGCAAGUCGAGCGGUAACAGGCCUUCGGGUGCUGACGAGUGGCGAACGGGUGAGUAAUGCAUCGGAACGUACCCAGAGGUGGGGGAUAACGCAGCGAAAGCUGUGCUAAUACCGCAUGUGAUCUGAGGAUGAAAGCGGGGGACCGAGCAGCAAUGUUUGGCCUCGCGCCUUUGGAGCGGCCGAUGUCGGAUUAGCUAGUUGGUGGGGUAAAGGCCUACCAAGGCGACGAUCCGUAGCUGGUCUGAGAGGACGACCAGCCACACUGGGACUGAGACACGGCCCAGACUCCUACGGGAGGCAGCAGUGGGGAAUUUUGGACAAUGGGCGCAAGCCUGAUCCAGCAAUGCCGCGUGCGGGAAGAAGGCCUUCGGGUUGUAAACCGCUUUUGGCAGGAACGAAACGGUGUCCGCUAAUACCGGGCGCUAAUGACGGUACCUGCAGAAUAAGCACCGGCGAACUACGU
rnacentral:rRNA from 1 species